ensembl:lncRNA
CUUAUCUCCAUCCUAGACAAAGAUUUAGGUGUGCAUCAUAUCCCAGGAGUUUGAUUUAUAUAUGAAGGGACAUCAAAACUUCCAUGAGACCUCUAGCAUCAGGGGACCAAGCCUACAAAGCAUGCCAGUGGGGACAGAGCCUCAGAGAACAUCACUUUGGAAAAGAAGUUGGUGGAGAGCAGGUCACGAGCACUCUGGGACUGCCUGAACUAGAUGCACAUACUCUGGUUUGGCAAUGGACAUUGUAUGCCUGUGAGAUGUAUAUGAAUGGAAGCUACACAGUGCCUUUUUUCCUACCAUGCUCCUGCGCCAUGAGGUCUUACCAAGAGAUCACUUAGACAAGAAAAAGGCUUUGGAAGUCAGGAUUUAAUUUAAACAUUCAAUUGAGUGACGAUCAGGGAGUCAUUUUAUCCUCCUGCACAUCAGCUUUCCCUCCAGACAGCCAUUCGUAACAUAUGUGACACUGAAAUUUCUGUGUGGGUGGCUCUGUUAUUAAUUGUUUGCAUGACGUAUCCAAGAGUCUUUGUCACAGAGUCAACCCAUCUGCACUGAACACAGUACAAAGCAGAAAAACACACACAUACAGAUUGUAAAAUCAUGUGUCAGAGACGAAGCAACAAUGAUCCAUAAUGCAAACAACAUUAACACUAGCUGUCUUUCAUUACUCUUACACUAGAAAAUCCUGGAGAAAGCAGAGCUUUGAAAAUGAGACAAAUAGAUGAAGCAUUCACUAAAAAUGACUUAGUCACAACAAGUUUCCUGCUCACCAGCAGAUUGUUUUGAGAAGCUGAUAUCUGCAAUACUUGAGGCAAAGCAGCUGUUUUCAGCUACUCUCUCCACAGUAAGUCCUUCAUAUCGUGUAUAAGGCUGGGAUGCAUGGAGGCAGCUAGUGCCUGCAUGAUGUCACCCUUGAGCGAUGGAACAUCUGAGAUUUGUUUUAUUUCAUAAGGUUUUUUUCAUUAAAAAAGCCAAAAUGUCUACUCUGUUAUCAUAGCCCAUCCUACAAAGGGCUUAUAGCUGUCUAGUUUAUCAGAGUUCAUUUUUUUUUACUAACGGUGCCCACAUUUCAUUCUCUUUGCAGUGUACUAAGACAUUAAUCUUGAUUUUCUAGUAAUCAGUUCAAGGAUUUUAACACUUAAUACUUCAUGCAAUGAAAGCAAAGAACUGUCAUCAUGAUAUAAUUAAAUCCUCUCUCAUUGACCCUUAAAAUGUUUAACAGCACCUCUUACAGUCAUAUAAUUACAGUAAAUCGCAAGGAAAGCUUCCAAAUUCAGUAAAACUCUUGAAUAACAACUGCAUUCUGCAUUCCUGAAAGCACAGCUGUUCGCUUUGCUGUUGAGAAGUAUUUAAAGGACCUUGAAAGAGUAACAACUAUACAAUCAUAGCAGUAUUCGGUAGAAAAUCCUACUGACAUCAUCAUUGAUUUGUUAGAUAUCAGAUAUCACACUGCAAAGUGUUUCACUUUUCUACUCAGAACAUGUUAUUGAGGAUUUGAUCUAAAUAAAUUAUUAAAUGGUUUUUUUUCCCUACA